GGUUCUCCCGAUUUAGUACCUUCAACCCUUUCCACAACCACUAAUUCGAUUUCCCGUCGGGUUAUCCGAUCUAUUUCCUUAUACGACACCACCUGAUAAUGCAAUAUUGCAACACGUGUCCGCAAGGAAUUUCAUUAGUCCUCCCAUCAAGAUGGUAACAACAUAUCAAUUUUCACUAUCAAAUCCGAAACGUGAUUAACUUGGUUCCAACAAUAAAAGGUCAACGACCCAGCAACCCAAAUUGGAACUCAAGUGACUACACAAGGACCAAAUUGGCCUCAAGAUUAAUGCUCAUCUUCAACAAACUCUCCAGUUGCCGCACUAUCCAGAGAACAGGUAAUGAAUUGCAUAGAUCCCUGACAGCUAAGUUCUUUCCGAAGAUUGCAAAGCAAGUCUCAACAAAAGCCUUCGAAGACAACAACAAAGAUGAGAUCGACACAGUUUAUGGAUUUUCCAAGAGACAAGUUCCUGACGGACCCAAUCCGCUUCACAACUAAUCUCUCUCCAAGAUGUGUUCUUGGUCAUACAAAGUUUUGCAGAUAAUAGCUAUCUUUUCUCUGCAUUUGUACACUUCUUCAGGUCGUGAUGUAUAUUGCUUGAUAUAUACACUUUUGAAAAGGAAUGUAAGUGUGUGUAUUUUACUAGAAACUUGCAACUGUACCAAGUGAAGAAUGUAAGUUCUUUCCGAAGUUUGCAAAGCAAGUCUUAACAAAAGCCUUCGAAGACAACAACAAAGAUGAGAUCGACCCAGUUUAUGGAGUUUCCAAGAGAAAAGUUCCCAGCAGACCAAAUCUGCUUCACAACUAAUCUCUCUCCAAGACGUGUUCUUGGUCAUACAAAGUUUUGCAGAUAACAGCUAUCUUUUCUCUGCAUUUGUAUACUUCUUCAGGUAGUGAUGUAUAUUGUUUGAUAGAUACACUUUUGAAAAGGAAUGAAAGUGUGUGUAUUUUACUAGAAACUUGCAACUGUACCAAGCGGGGAUAGUAAAGCGCUAUAUGCAGCUAAAACCGGUUGUAACUAGCCGCCCGAGUCCUUACUUCAGAAGGGCUGCAUAUGAUCCAACACAAACAAUGAUUGACAUUCUUGUCAUGCUAAUACCUACAAAAGUAUUGUCUUCCGAAAACAUAUAGGCAG